rnacentral:rRNA from 1 species
GACGAACGCUGGCGGCGUGCUUAACACAUGCAAGUCGAACGAAGAGCGAUGGAAGCUUGCUUCUAUCAAUCUUAGUGGCGAACGGGUGAGUAACGCGUAAUCAACCUGCCCUUCAGAGGGGGACAACAGUUGGAAACGACUGCUAAUACCGCAUACGAUCUAAUCUCGGCAUCGAGGAUAGAUGAAAGGUGGCCUCUACAUGUAAGCUAUCACUGAAGGAGGGGAUUGCGUCUGAUUAGCUAGUUGGAGGGGUAACGGCCCACCAAGGCGAUGAUCAGUAGCCGGUCUGAGAGGAUGAACGGCCACAUUGGGACUGAGACACGGCCCAGACUCCUACGGGAGGCAGCAGUGGGGAAUCUUCCGCAAUGGACGAAAGUCUGACGGAGCAACGCCGCGUGAGUGAUGACGGCCUUCGGGUUGUAAAGCUCUGUUAAUCGGGACGAAAGGCCUUCUUGCGAAUAGUGAGAAGGAUUGACGGUACCGUAAUAGAAAGCCACGGCUAACUACGUG